AACAGGACUGUUUUGAUUACUGCACUCCUGGUUAUCCAUAGACUUAAUAGGGGAACAAGAAAAGAAAAUGCCAGAAAAACAGAAGAAAACUGACAUGCAUAAAUUAAAGAACAAGGUCAAGAAAG
rnacentral:lncRNA from 1 species